UAGUCCACACGGUAAACGAUGAAUACUCGCUGUUGGCGAUAUACAGUCAGCGGCCAAGCGAAAGCAUUAAGUAUUCCACCUGGGGAGUACGCCGGCAACGGUGAAACUCAAAGGAAUUGACGGGGGCCCGCACAAGCGGAGGAACAUGUGGUUUAAUUCGAUGAUACGCGAGGAACCUUACCCGGGCUUAAAUUGCACUGGACCGUUCUGGAAACAGGACUUUCUUCGGACCAGUGUGA
rnacentral:rRNA from 1 species